GAGAAGGCUUAGUGGCCAGAGCCUCUCCAAAUUAAAAGGAUAUAAACCAAAAUAAUUUCAGUCCCAAAUGUUUAAUACAUCAUCCCAAAAAAUGGGUGGUAAGUAGAGCAAAAUUAUGAGAAAUAAUAUGUACUUUAUAAUAAGUCACCGUAUUGUAUAACAGAUAGUUUUAUUUUUUAAUGAUUUUUAUUUUUUCCAUUAUAGUUGGUUUAAAGUGUUCUGUCAAUUUCUACUGUACAGCAAAAGUGACCUAGUCUCACACACACACACACACACACACAUACAUACAUUUUCUCACAUUAUCCUCCAUCAUGCUCCAUCACAAGUGACUAGAUAAAGUUCCUAGUGCUAUAUAGCAGGAUCUCAUUGCUUAUCCAUUCCAAUGCAUCUAUUAACCCCAAAUUCCCAGUCCAUCCCACUCCCUCCCCUUUCUCCUUGGCAACCACAACUCUGUUCUCCAAGUCCAUGAGUUUCUUUUCUGUGGAAAGAUUCAUUUGCGCCACAUAUUAGAUUCCAGAUAUUUGAUAUCAUGCGGUAUUUGUCUUUCUCUUUCUUACUUCACUUAGUAUGAGAGUCUCUAAUUCCAUCCAUGUUGCUGCAAAUGGCAUUAUUUUGUUCUUUUUUAUGGCUGAGUAGUAUUCCAUUGCAUAUAUAUACUACAGCUUCUCAAUCCAUUCACCUGUCAAUGGACCUUUAGGUUGUUUCCAUGUUCUGGCUAUUGUGAAUAGUGCUGCAAUGAAAAACGGAUGCAUGUGUCUUUUUCAAGGAAAGUUUUGUCCAAAUUUAUGCCCAAGAGUGGGAUUGCUGGGUCAUAUGGUAGUUUUAUUUUUAGUUUUCUGAGGUACCUCCAUACUUUUUUCCAUGGUGAUUGUACCAAUUUACAUUCCCACCAACAGUGUAAGAGGGUUCCCUUUUCUCCACACCCUCUCCAGCCUUUGUUAUUUGUGGACUUAUUAAUGAUGGCCAUUCUGACUGGUGUAAGGUGGUACCUCAUUGUGGUUUUGAUUUGCAUUUCACUAAUAAUCAGUAAUGUUGAGCAUUUUUUCAUGUGCCUGUUAGCCAUCUGUAUCUUUUGUGGAGAAAUGUCUGUUCAGGUCUCUUGCCCAUUUUUCAAUUGAGGUUUUUGUUUUGUUUUGUUUUUGCUGUUGAGUUGUACGAGUUGUUUGUAUAUUUUAGAGAUUAGGCCCUUGUCAGUUGCAUCAUUUGAAACUAUUUUCUCCCAUUCCAUAGGUUGUCUUUUUUUGUGGUUUUCUUUGCUGUGCAAAAGCUGUAACGUUUGACUAGGUCCCCUUGGUUUAUUUUUGCAUUUAUUUCUUUUUUUUUUUUUUUUUUUUUUUUUGUCUUUUUGCUAUUUCUUGGGCCGCUCCCGCGGCAUAUGGAGGUUCCCAGGCUAGGGGUCGAAUCGGAGCUGUAGCCACUGGCCUACACCAGAGCCACAGCAACGUGGGAUCCGAGCCGCGUCUGCAACCUACACCACAGCUCAUGGCAACGCUGGAUCGUUAACCCACUGAGCAAGGGCAGGGACCGAACCCGCAACCUCAUGGUUCCUAGUCGGAUUCGUUAACCACUGCGCCACCAUGGGAACUCCUGCAUUUAUUUCUAUUGCCCUGGGAGACUAACCUAAGAAAACAUUUGUAAGGUUGAUGUCAGAGAAUGUUUUGCUUAUGUUCUCUUGUAGGAGUUUGAUGGUGUGUUGUCUUACAUUUAAGUCUUUAAGCCAUUUUGAGUUUAUUCUUGUGCAUGGGGUGAGGGUAUGUUCCAGUUUCAUUGAUUUACAUACAGCUGUCCAGUUUCCUCAGCAACACUUGCUGAAGAGACUGUCUUUUUCCCAUUUUAUAUUCUUGCCUCCUUUGUCAAAGAUUAAUGGACCAUAGGUGUCUGGGUUUAUUUCUGGGUUCUCUAUUCUCUUCCAUUGGUCUGUAUGUCUGUUUUGGUAGCAGGACCACACUGUCUUGAUCACCAUGGUUUUGUAACAAUGUCUGAAGUUUGGGAGAGUUAUGCCUCCUGCUUGGUUUUUAUUCCUCAGGAUUGCUUUGGCAAUUCCAGGUCUUUUAUGAUUCCAUAUAAAUUUUUGGAUUGUGUGUUCUAGUUCUAUGGAAAAAAAUGUCAUGGGUAAUUUGACAGGGAUUGCACUGAAUCUGUAGAUUUCUUUGGGUAGUAUGGCCAUUUUUACAACAUUAAUUUUUCCAACUCAGGAGCAUCCUCCAUUUAGUAUUAUAUUGGCUGUGGAUUUGUCAUAAAUGGCUUUGAUUAUGUUAAGAUGUAUUCCAUCUAUACUCACUUUAGUAAGAGUUUCUACCAUGAAUGGAUGUUGGAUUUUUGUCAAAUGCUUUUUCUGCAUCUAUAGAGAUGAUCAGGUGGCUUUUGACUUUUCUUUUGUUAGUGUGGUGUAUGACAUUGAUUUGCAUAUGUUGAACCAUCCUUGUGAACUUGGAAUGACUCCCACUUGGUCAUAUUGUAUGAUCUUUUUUAUGUGUUGUUGGUUGGUUGGCUCAAAUUUUGAGAAUUUUUGUGUCUACAUUCAUGAAAGAUAUUGGCCUAUAAUUUUCUUUUUGGUAGUAUCUUCGUCUGGCUUUGGUAUUAGAGUGAUGGUGGCUUCACAGAAUGUCUUUGGAAGUGUUCCUUCUUCAACCUUUUGGAAGAGUUUAAGAAGGAUGGGUAUAAGUUCUUCUUUGUAUGUUUGGUAGAAUUGGGCUGUGAUGCUAUCUGGUCCUGGACUUGUGUUUGUAGGGAGUGUUUUGAUUAAUAUUAAUAUUAAUAUUAAAUUUCAUUUCUAGUGAUGGGUCUAUUCAAAUUAUCUAUUUUUCUUUCUUGAUUCAGUUUUGGUGGGCUGUGUGUCUCUAGAAAAUUGUUCAUUUCUUCUAGGCUGUCAAAUUUGUUGGCAUAUAAUUGUUCAUAGUAUUCUCUUACAGUUUUUUGUAUUUCUGCAGUAUCCAUUGAGAUUUCUCCUUCUUCAUUUCUUAUUUUAUUUGGCCAUUAGUUGGGUUCUCUCUCUACCCUUCUUGGUGAGUCCAGCCAGAUGUUUUUCAAUUUUGCUUACUCUUAAGAAUAAGCUCCUGGCUUUAUUGAUUUUUUCCCCCUAGUUUCUUAAAUCUCUAUUUCAUUGAUUUUCUCUCUGAUCUUUAUGAUUUCUUUCUUCCUGCUGACUUUAGGUUUUGUUUGCUCUUCUUCUAAUUAUUUUAGGUGGUAGGUUAAGUUGUUUUGAGAUUUUUCUUUUUUGUGAGGAAGGCAUGUAUCACUAUGAACUUCCCUCCUAGAACUGUUUUUGCAGCAUCCUAUAGAUGUUGAAUGGUUGUGUUUUCAUCGUCAUUUGUCUCAAGGUAAUUUCCCUUUUGAUUUCCUCAUUGGCUCACUGGUUUUUAAGUAGCAUGUUGUUUAGUCUCCUUAUAGUCCAUUUUUUCUCAUUUAUUUUACUGUGGUUGAUUUCUGGUUUUAUGCCAUCAUAGUUAGAGAAUAUUCGUUGAGGUUUUGCGCCCCAGUAUGGGCUCAAUCCUUGAGAAUGUUCCAUGUGCACUUGAAAAGAAUGUAUAUGGGGGGGGGGGAUUGGAUGUAAUGUCCUGAAAAUAUCAAUUAAGACUAAUUGUUCUAUUGUGUCAUUUAGGAUCUCUGUUGCCUUACUGAUUUUCUGUCUAGAGUAUCUGUCCAUUGAUGUUUGUGUAGUAUUAAAAAUCUUCUAAUAUUAUUGUAUUUCCAUCCAUUUCUCCUUUUAUGUCUGUUAGUAUUUGUUGUAUGUAUUUGGGUGCUUCUAUAUUAGGGGUAUAUACAGUGGGAUGAGUGUCUUGAACUGAUUUUUUAUCAUUAAUAUCCUUCUUUGUCUUUCUUUAUGGCCUUUGUUUUUAAUGUCUUUGUCAGAUAUGAAUAUUAUAACUCCCACUUUUCUGUCAUUUCCAUUCACAUGAAAUAUUUUUUUCCAUCCCCCCACUUUCAAUUUAUAUGUAUCCUUUGCCCUACGGUGAGUCUCUUGUAGGCAGCAUAUUGCAGGCUCUUUUUUUUUAUCCAGUCUAGCUCUCUAUGUCUUUUGAUUGCAGCAUUCAGUCCAUUGACAUUUAAGGUAAUUAUUGAUAAAUAUGUAUUUUUUGCCAUUUUAAACCGUGUUUUCCAGUUGAUUCUAUGUUUUUUUUUUUUUUUUUUUGGUUGGAUGAUUUAUUUUAUGCUUGUGUCGUCUUUUUAGUUUUUGUGAAUGUAUUUUUUGGUUUUGAUUUGUGGUUUCCCUGUUUCUCAAGUAUGUUAGUUAAUGCAUACCUAUGUCUGCUUGCUUUAGCCUAAUAGUCAUGUAGGCUCAAACACAUUCUAAAAAUAAUAAUAAUCCAGAUUUUCUUACUUUCCCUCCUUUAUGAUUUUGAUAUCCUUUUUUGUUCCUUGUGUUUAUCAUCGCUUUUACAAAUAGUUUUUUUUUCCCUUUAGGUCUGUAUACUGGCUUAUUUAAGUGAUUGCUUUCCAAUUGUGAUUUCCUCCAUCCUAUGUCUUUUUACUUCUUUCCUAUUUAGAGGAGACUUUUCAGUAUUUCUUUUAGAAUGGGUUUGGUAUUGCUGUAUUUUAGUUUUGUUUCUUGGAGAAAUUCUUUAUUUCUCUAUUUUAAAUUAUAUUCUUCCUGGGAAGAAUAGUCUAGGCUGCAAAGUUUUCCCUUUUAGAGUUUUGAGUGUAUCUUGCCACCCUCUUCUGAACAGUAGGGUUUCUGUAGAGAAAUCAGCUGAAAGCCCUAUGGAGGUUUCCUUAUAAUUCUUUCUUUUUAUCUUGCCUUUAGAAGACUCUCCUUAACUUUUGCCAUUUUUAUUAUAUGUCUUGGUGUGGGAUGGUUUGGGUUCAACUCAUUUGGGGCCCUCUGUGCUUCCUUGUUAUCUUUUUCCUUUAGAUUUGGAAUUUUUUUAGCCAUAUUUUCUUCAAAUAUAUUUUAAAUCUCCUUUUCUUUUUCUUUACUUUGUGAAAUCCCUAUUAGGCAAAGACUGGCCUGCUUUAUAUUAUCCCAUAGAUCUCUUAUAUUGCUUUCAUGUUUUUUCACUUGGUUUUCUGUCUGCUGUCCUGAUUGGGUGAGUUCCAUUAUUCUAUCAUUCAAAUCAUUAUUCAUUCCUCUGCAUUAUUCAUUCUGCUCUUCAAGGACUUUACCUCAGCUUGCAUCUCUGCAAAUGAAUUUUCUAAUUUUUCUUGGCUCCUCCUUAUAUUUCUAGUUCCUUUCUAAAGUAAUCUGCAUUACUGUUUAUAUUGCUCUUAAUUUCUUCAGUAUUUUACUAUCUCCUUUUUGAACUCAGUGUCUGUUAGACUGCAGAGGUCUGUUACCUUGUUUGCUCCUUCAGGGGAAUUCUCCUGUUUUUUUUUUAACUGGGAAUGCUUCCUGAGCUUCGUCAUUUUGCUUAUAUUUUUCUCAUUCUGUGAGUAGGGAAAACAACUACUAUAAUCUUGUAGAUUUAUUUAUAUGCAAGAGUGCCCCUGGGUAGUUUAUGAGGGAUGAUGAUGAUGAUGAUGACUUUGGUGUGAGGCCGCUUGCUGUCUCCUUUCCUCAGUCUGUGAAGGCUAUUAUCUAGUAUCCCCUUGAUAGGGGGUGUGCUGGUGUGUGUCCUGAGCUUGCUUCCAGGAAGAUGGAGGCGAUGUACAGGGCCUAUAGCCAGUGCCUGGUAGCUGCACCCUUGACAGUGGUAAGGAACCUCGGGGAGGUGUCACAGGCUGCUCCUGGUUACAGGGCCCUGGGAAGUGGCAGUGACCCUCAGGGAGGUGUAGACAGUGCCCAGAGCCUUUAGCAGAAACAACAGCAGGGAGUGUGUGUUCCCAGGGGAGUGAGGGCAAUGGGUGGUGCUUGGUUGCAGUGCCUUCCUCUGCAGUGAUCCCUGAGGUGGCUGGGGCCACAGGCAGUUCCUGUUCAUGGACCCCUGGUGGUGGCAGGCCACACCUACCUCUGGAGUCUGAGAUAGCUGCAGCAGUUUUCCCCCAUUGCCAGUAGCCUGUGCAAGAGGCGCCCCUCUGCCCAAUAACCCACACAUGUGCAGAGAAAGAUGUUUCUAUGGUGCCCCACCCCUCCUCCUCUUGCCCUCCCAAACAAUGGCACCUUGCUUCUUCCAUGCUCCCUCAUCUGUGGCACUCCACUCUCUGGCCCAUGGUGCACCACUCCUUAGCCCCUCAGGUUGUCUCCACAUAGCUAACCCCAGUUCUCUUCCUGGAACUGACCUCCAAAGCCUUAGUCUCAGUGCCCAGCCCCACCCAAGUGAUGUCUCAGGCUGUGGUAUCUGGGGGCAGUGGUACCAAUGAUCUGUAUGGCUGUCUUUCUGCUUUUCCCUCCUCAGUCCAGCCGGUGCACUUUUCUCCAAGGCUUUGAGAUUCCCCCUCUGUCCUGGCUGAUCUCCCCAUCAGUUAGGUGGCCUCCCAGGGUGCAGGUUCCUUUCCUCUUUCACAGCUCCCUCUCAGGAGUGCUGGUCCCAUCCUGAUUCCUUCUCUCUCUCUCUCUCCUCUUUUUUUCCCUUUUGUUCUAUGCAGUUUUGUGGAGAGUUUCUUGCCCUCUCUGGAGGUUUAAGGUCUUCUGCCAAUGUUCAGUA
rnacentral:lncRNA from 1 species